rfam:Helianthus annuus linkage group 12, whole genome shotgun sequence.
AUGGAAGUGAUGAUUAUUUCCCCAUAUGAUCGAAGUUGAUUAUACUGAGCGCAUUUUUUUAAAUUCUCUUUUCUCAAAGAGAAUCCAAGCCAGAAAUCUGAUCCAU